rnacentral:rRNA from 1 species
GACGAACGCUGGCGGCGUGCCUAAUACAUGCAAGUCGAACGCAGUGGGGCCGGGUGAGUCACACGUGGGUAACCUCCCAUCAGAGGGGAUAACACUUGGAAACAGGUGCUAAUCCGAUCCUGAUGGAUGGAACCGCGGUGCAUUAGCCAGUUGGAGAGGGAACGGCUCACCAAGGCCACGAGGCAUAGCCGACCUGAGAGGGGGAUCGGCCACACUGGGACAGAGACACGGCCCAGACGCCGACGGGAGGCAGCAGAAGGGAAUCUUCGGCAAUGGACGAAAGUCUGACAGAGAAACGCCGCGUGAGUGAAGAAGGUUUGCGGAUCGUAAAACUCUGUUGUUAGAGAAGCGGUAUCUAACCAAAAAGCCACGGCGAACGACGUGCCAGCAGCCGCGGUAAUUC